AACCUGGUUGAUCCUGCCAGUAGUCAUAUGCUUGUCUCAAAGAUUAAGCCAUGCAUGUGUCAGUGUAAGUAUUAUACAGCGAAACUGCGAAUGGCUCAUUACAUCAGUCAUAAUUUACAUGAUAUUUGAAAGUUACAUGGAUAACCGUGACAAAUUACAGCUAAUACAUGCAUCAAUACCCAACUUUUUGGAAGGGUAGUAUUUAUUAGAUAUUAAACCAAUCCUUCGGGACUGUGAUGAAUCAUAAUAACUGAUCGAAGCGAGGUUUACCUUGCUAAAUCAUUCAAGUUUCUGCCCUAUCAGCUUUAGAUGGUAGUGUAUUGGACUACCAUGGCUAUCACGGGUAACGGAGAAUUAGGGUUCGGUUCCGGAGAGGGAGCCUGAGAAAUGGCUACCACAUCUACGGAUAGCAGCAGGCGCGAAAAUUACCCAAUCCCGAUUCGGGGAGGUAGUGACAAGAAAUAACAACUCAGGGCUAUGCCCAGAGAUUGUAAUGAGAAAAAUCUGAAAAACUUAUCGAGUAUCAACUGGAGGACAAGUUCUGGUGCCAGCACCCGCGGUAAUUCCAGCUCCAGUAGCGUAUAUUAAAGUUGCUGCAGUUAAAAAGCUCGUAGUUGAAAUUCUGUUCGGCAGACCGUAUUCACUAUGUGUUUAUGGCUCUUCGGACAUCAGUCUGCAAUCUUUUUCACGUCAUUUACUUAACGGGAUUGGGAGCAGACGUUUUACCUUGAGAAAAUUAGAGUGUUCCAGGCAGGCUUCAGCCCGAAUACAUUAGCAUGGAAUAAUAGAAUAGGACUAGAGACUAUUUAUUGGUUUGAGGCUCUAGUAAUGAUUAAUAGGAACAGUCGGGGGCAUUAGUACUUAACAGUCAGAGGUGAAAUUCUAGGAUUUGUUAAAGACUAACUAAUGCGAAAGCAUUUGCCAAGCAUGUUUUCAUUAAUCAAGAACGAAAGUUAGGGGAUCAAAGACGAUUAGAUACCGUCGUAGUCUUAACCAUAAACUAUACCGACUCGGAAUUGGAUAAUUUUAUUAUAGGUUAUUCAGCGCCGUAAGAGAAAUCAAAGUCUUUGGGUUCUUGGUGGAGUACGAUCGCAAGAUUGAAACUUAAAGGAAUUGACGGUUUUGCACCACCAUGGAGUGGAGCCUGCGGCUUAAUUUGACUCAACACGGGAAAACUUAUCAGGGUAAAAAGGUAUUGGGAUUGACAGAUUGAGAGUUCUUUCUUGAUUUAUCUAAUGGUGGUGCAUGGCCGUUCUUAGUUGGUGGAGUGAUUUGUCUGGUUAAUUCCGUUAACGAACGAGACCUUAACCUACUAACUAGUACUCAAUUCUUAAAUUGUGUUACUUCUUAGAGGGACAAUGUGUUGUAAACACAAGGAAGUUUAAGGCAAUAACAGGUCUGUGAUGCCCUUAGAUACCCUGAGCCGCACGCGCGCUACAAUGACACUUUCAACAAGUAUUUACUGAUCCGAAAGGAUUCUGGUUAAUCUUUUUAGGGAGUGUCGUGCUGGGGAUUGAUCUUUGUAAUUGUGGAUCAUGAACGAGGAAUUCCUAGUAAGCGUGGUUCAUUAGACCAUGCUGAUUACGUCCCUGCAAAAUGUACACAUCGCCCGUCGCUUGCUCCGAUUGAGUAAUCUGGUGAGCCCUCUGGACCAAGCAGCUCUGCUGCAAGGGAAAUUGAGCAAACCAUAUUACUUAGAGGAUGAAGAAGUCGUAACAAAGUUUCCGUAGGUGAACCUGCAGAAGGAUCAA
rnacentral:rRNA from 1 species